rnacentral:pre_miRNA from 1 species
ACACAAAUCACCUGGGGAUCUUGGUACAAUGCAGACUCUGAUUCAUUAGGUCUGAGAUGGAACCUGAGACUCUGCAUUUCUGCCAAGCUCCCUGGUGAGACCUAU